ensembl:lncRNA
AUGUGUGACCUUCCUCUUCACUCUUUUCCCUACAGUGGCUGGAUGCAGAUGAAGAUGAAGCCCUGGGGAUGGGUGUGCUGUGAGUUGAAACGAUCCUGGGCUCUGAGUCAUUGUGUGGAGCAGUCCUACACGCCAACAAAACCACGUGCCUUGGACUGCAAUUUUUAUACAGAAGAAAGUACUGGAAUGCCAGCAAGAUGAUAAUUAUUUUCUGAGAAUGUGAGGAAAGGGAGAAGCCUGAAUGUCAGUGGAAAUCACGUUCUGGUUACUAACAGAGGAAUUUGAUUCUGGCCAUCUUAAUACAAAAUGGGAUUUACUGGAACCCUCUCAUGUGCUUGAAGGAAAAACUGAAAGUCCGUGCUUGAGAACUGAACAGGCAUCAAGGUAGGCUGGACAGUGGUGAGCAGACCAAAGGUCAUGCCAUGGGAAGAUUUUGGUCAGCACAACAUCGUCAUUUCCUCUAGGAAUAAUACAGUCACCAUCUGGUUCCAUCAUCUGAAGUCACUUGCUCAGGAUAUAAAGUCCUAAGAGAGAGCAUUUCGUUUGCUAUGCUUGAGUUAAUUUCUUCAAACAGGCCCACAGAAAUAACUUUAUAACCCAGCAUCCCUUCCAUAGAUGUAGAGUUUUCACCAGUGACUCUGGGAAGGAAGAUUGCAGAAUAAGUUCCUUGGAACUCUGACCAGACAGGAAUCAACAUAUUGUGAUGUUAUAAUGUAAACAUAUUCAUCUAGGAACUUAGCUGGUAUGCAGUGUAAAAGAGGGCUAUGCACGUGUCAAGUUAUUUCAUUUUCUUUGACUUCUGAAGGGGCAUUCCUCUGGCUUAACUUCCUAAUGGAGUACUAUUUAAAUCACUGCGACUGGCUGACUGUUAAUAGUGCUGCACAGGAAGGAACCAGGGACUAAUAUUUUAUUCUAGUGUUAAUUUAAAACCAUCUGAAAACUGACUUCCUCAUAAUGAAUCAGACUUAGCUAGGAGCAUGAUAAAUUUAAUUAUAAUGGACUUCGUGUGGGUAUUGCCAGUCGUUUACAUAUUCAUUGAGUUCCAUGAAGUAGUUUUUCUUACCAUUUUGAGUGUUAAAACCAAAGAAAGGCUAAAUCACAGAAAGGAGAAAUAACAAAUUUGUCUAUAAUUAAAAGGUGAACUGGUCUCGUGAGCAGGUCCCCUAUUUACAUAAACUUCCUGGACUUAGUUCAGUGGGUGCUUCUCUUUAUGAACGUACAUUGUUACUGAAUUAUAAACAACCUGAUUCUCUCUUCUGUGAAAUAUUUGUGGUAUUUUCAGUUGUGUGAAGCCACCCCUAACUGUGUUGAGUAGUAAGAAAGCCCAGGGUUCAGGCCCUGGAGGCCCAAGGUGUUGCUGGCCUUGCUGACGGGUCUCAUUGCUCAGUGGACUAGUGAAGGACCCAGAUUUUCUGCCUCCCCUCUAGGCUUUCUGGUCUACAAUCUAGGUCUUCCCAGGGCUGCUUUCCUGAGGAUGGGGGCUGCUAAGAUGCAGGGGAUUCCUCAUUCAUACCUGGGCAUGAAGAUGACUGUUCCUGGACACUCUCUUAGGAGAAUGAGGAGAAAUUUCAUCUGCAGCCAGUGGCGAAUCUCUUUAUAUCCCGUUGGCCUAAACUAUCAUCUCCACUCUGCAGCCAGUUAUAAACCACACGGAUGAGCUAAAUCUGAUUUGUUCAGAUGACUGGGGGCCAUACCUGAAAUUAGGAAUUGUAUUGAGUUAAUAUUUAAAUAAAAUUUCGAAGCAUAUUGGUGUCUGGAGCAUACCAACUGAGCAAACGGACCUAGGAAGGAGGGAAGGAAAGAAAGUGGAAUCAGCUUCUGAUAAAUUACUCAGGAUGCCUGGGGAGCAUUAUGUCCAAUAAAAUCAGGAUCUAUUAAGGAAGAAAAAUAGAGAAAAAGAUGCAAAGAUGCUGGUAGAUAAAC